rnacentral:rRNA from 1 species
CGGACGGGUGAGUAACGCGUAAAGAACUUGCCCUUUAGACUGGGAUAACAGAGGGAAACUUCUGAUAAUACUGGAUAAGUUAGUAUAUCGCAUGAUAUGCAAAUGAAAGCUACGGCACUAAAGGAGAGCUUUGCGUCCUAUUAGCUAGUUGGUAAGGUAAGAGCUUACCAAGGCGAUGAUAGGUAGCCGGCCUGAGAGGGUGGACGGCCACAAGGGGACUGAGAUACGGCCCUUACUCCUACGGGAGGCAGCAGCA